GAGCGCCACAACCCCAGAGUCGUCCAUGACUGGACCUAAUGUUCAGGGGUAAAAGUAAAGGGACCCCUGACCAUUAGGUCCAGUCGCGGACGACUCUGGGGUUGCGGCGCUC